AUUGAACGCUGGCGGCAGGCCUAACACAUGCAAGUCGAACGGUAACAGGAAGAAGCUUGCUUCUUUGCUGACGAGUGGCGGACGGGUGAGUAAUGUCUGGGAAACUGCCUGAUGGAGGGGGAUAACUACUGGAAACGGUAGCUAAUACCGCAUAACGUCGCAAGACCAAAGAGGGGGACCUUCGGGCCUCUUGCCAUCGGAUGUGCCCAGAUGGGAUUAGCUAGUAGGUGGGGUAACGGCUCACCUAGGCGACGAUCCCUAGCUGGUCUGAGAGGAUGACCAGCCACACUUGAACUGAGACACGGUCCAGACUCCUACGGGAGGCAGCAGUGGGGAAUAUUGCACAAUGGGCGCAAGCCUGAUGCAGCCAUGCCGCGUGUAUGAAGAAGGCCUUCGGGUUGUAAAGUACUUUCAGCGGGGAGGAAGGGAGUAAAGUUAAUACCUUUGCUCAUUGACGUUACCCGCAGAAGAAGCACCGGCUAACUCCGUG
rnacentral:rRNA from 1 species